rnacentral:rRNA from 1 species
CGUAGGUGGCAAGCGUUACUCGGAAUUACUAGGCGUAAAGCGCAGGUAGGUGGUUGGGUAAGUCUGCAAUGAAAUCUCCCGGCUUAACUGGGAGGGGUUUGUAGAUACUGCUUGACUCGAGUGUGGGAGAGGUAACUGGAAUUCCAGGUGUAGCGGUGAAAUGCGUAGAUAUCUGGAGGAACACCAAUGGCGAAAGCAGGUCACAGGCCCAAUACUGACGCUGAGCUGCGAAAGCUAGGGGAGCAAACAGGAUUAGAUACCCUGGUAGUCCUAGCCAUAAACGAUGUAGACCAGAUGUGGGGGGUAUCGACCCCCUCCGCGUCGACGCUAACGCAUUAAGUCUACCGCCUGGGGAGUACGGCCGCAAGGUUG